GGUACUGUCUCUAACCCUGUCACAGGUACUGUCUCUAACCCUGUCACAGGUACUGUCUCUAACCCUGUCGCAGGUACUGUCUCUAACCCUGUCACAGGUACUGUCUCUAACCCUGUCACAGGUACUGUCUCUAACCCUGUCACAGGUACUGUCUCUAACCCUGUCACAGGUACUGUCUCUAACCCUGUCGCAGGUACUGUCUCUAACCCUGUCGCAGGUACUGUCUCUAACCCUG